rnacentral:lncRNA from 1 species
ACUUUCUCUUUAAGAAAUUUAUGUGGAGAUUUAGACAUUUGAAAGUUUCUCUAAGAAAGUAAAACUAUAUAUAAAUAUACAUUUAGUGAAAGCUUUAUGUUCUUUUCAUUUCACAAUACUAUAAAUAAAGAAAAAAACAUAUUUUACCCAGUUCUAAAAUGAGUAAGAUUUAGUAUGGCAGAAGGCAUUCUAUUGCUUGUGGAGGUUAUCUAAGCAUUCGAUAUACUAGCUGUAACAGCUACAGCUUGAUAAUUGUGUAUAUAAUACCUGUGUUUGCCCUAAACAUUAUUGUAUAUCAUUCAUUCUAUCUGAAAAUAGUUUUAUAAUAUAUUAAAUUUUCAUAAUAUAUCUUCUCAGAAGUGUAAUUAAGUAGUUUUAAUUUGUGAAAAUUAGGCCAUAAACCUGCUAUAAUAAAUAUAUUUAAUAAAAUUUAAUACAUACACUUUGUAGGGAUAAGUAUCAUUUUCAUUAAUUUUAAAUAACCUAUCUAGUCUUAUAUCUAAAAUGGCCUGGUGUUCUACCAGUUUAGGAUCUUCAUUGCCACUAUAAAUGUGUGACUGUAUGGUAUGUUAAGUAUUACAUUUCAGUAAAGCUGUUAAAAACAUCUUGGGGUAGGGGGAACUGCUGUAGCUCUUGUCAUUGCCAUGGCACGGGUUCAUUCCCUGGUCUAGGAACUUCUGCAUGUGGCAGGUGUGGCCAAAAAUAAAAAUUAAAUGCCCUUUAUUAUUUAUCUUUUUGCUUUGUUAUAGAAACAAAUCCCUUCUCCUGCCUUAGUUUCUGUAUAUUGAAGGAAAAGAGUCACUUUUAUAGCAAAAUAAUAGUGAUUGUAAUAGCAUUCAUUUAUACCAUUAUGGACCAUUGUGUUGGAGAUCUGCACCUAUUACAUAACAUUUUUAUUGUACUUCAUCUUAUUUUGAAUCAACAAUUAAGAUUCUGUAUUAACUCUAAAUAAUUUCUAUAUAGCUUUUGAAGUGAAUAUAGUUUAAAUAUAUUAUGUAAUGUAUUAUUUUAAUCAAUUUAAAACAAACGAAAAAGGUUAGUUUUAAUAUUCAUUCAGAGCACUAACUCCUAAAUCUUCAACUAUAAGGAUAUAAAGAAUUUCUGUAACUGCAAUAUUUCUAUUUAACAUUGAAGAAUUAACCUUGUAAAAAAAAACUGUCAAUUUUGCAUCUUACAUUUCCAUAUAGCCUCAUAUUUAUUUUAAACAGAGAAAUUGGCAUGUAAAGAACAUAAGUUGAUAGUAGCAUGCACCAUGAAAUAAAUGCAAUUGGAGAAUACAAUUUGCCUUUGGAUUCUCUUGCCUAAGCUUUUCUAGUUAUAGUGUUUCCACAACAUCUGAAUUUACUCUGAUCUGCCCAAUUGCAUCUCUUACCUGUUGUAGGAAAUUUUUGGAUCUCAGCAAGUUCUCAUCUAUUGCAAUGGAAUUCAAAAUAUUGUGAAACAUAUUAAGAAAGAUAAAUGGUUUCAAUAGGCCUUCUGUGCCAAAACCUGUACCAUUUUGCUAAUUUUCAGGACCAGAACUAUGUAUUUUGUAUAUUUUGACCAUAAAUGAGAUAACUAUUUAUAGGUUAUAUAUGCUAUACAGAGAUUCAAUAUACUUCUGAUGUUUAGAAGAGAGAUCCAGACUCACUUUUGGAACAUGUGGAGAGUUUGUUAUUUGCUAUCACCUCUCACCCCAAAGAUUUACCAGCUUUUUUUCUGAUGUUCUUUUUACUCUGUCUUUUAUUAAAAUAACAUAUUUAACAAGAGAUCAGAUCUUUUAAAACAAAAUUUACAGUAAUUCAAAUACUCUUAAAAGAUACUUGCAAAUAUUUCCUAAUUGUCCUGUUUUUCAUGUUUUUCAUGGGUUGGGACAUAUAUCUAAGAAAAUAAAUUCAUUGGUUGAAGCCAUAACUCCUCUUACCUCAGAAAGUGAUUGUAUUUAGGAAUAGGGACUUUAAUAGUGAUUCAGUUAAAAAGCACUUAAGUUAAAUUAGGUCAUUAGGGUGGACCGUAUUUCAGUUUGACUGGUGCCUUUAUAAGAAGAAGAAAUUUAAACACAGAUUCCAGGGGUACCCUUGCACAGAAGUGUGGCCAAGUCAGGACACAGCAAGUCAAUAGGAGAGGGCUUAGGAAAAACCCCAAACUGCUAAUACCCUGAAUUUGGACUUCUAGUCUACAGAACUAUGAGAAAACAAAUUUCUAUUUAAGCCACCCAGUCUGUGGUACUUUGUUAUGGCAAUCCUAGCACACUCAGACAGAUAUAUAUUUCUCCUUUAAAUAAAACAACUUUGACUGCAACUUCAUGGUAACUUAUAAUUCUAAGAUUCUUCCACCUCUAAGAGGCUUUUAUUAGAAUUUUAACAUGUAGGAUUAUAUUUAAUUAAUUCUUGCACUCUCAAGAUAAUCAAUUCUUCCAUAGAGUGGGGGAAUAUUAGAUCAGGUCCUAAAGAUGAAUAUUUCUUUAGCAUUGGUGAAUAUCCUAUCCUUUUUAUUAAUACUUUUUUAUAUCUCACAAGAACAUCACCGUUGUCAUUGUUCCAGAUAUCAUAUUCAGGAUAUUGUAUUUUUAAGCAAAAUGAUAAGGAAUAUUGCCAAACACAAUAAAAUAUAAAGAGUACUUGAACUACAUUAUUAGUGAUAAGAUUAAAAACAUGGCAAAUAUUUAGUUAUAGGUGACCAACACUUAAAAAGGUAAUUCAAAUCCUAAAUCCUUCAUGUUAUUCCCAGUAAGAAUGCAAGAUCUAAAAAUUUGUUUCAGGUAAAAUAUAAUUACAUAUUUCAAAUCAUUUAUUUUAAGAAAUACUGUCCCAUAUUAGUAUUAAAAUUUCAGAAUAAUAUUAGUGGAGAUUGUAAUAAUAUUCUUUAGCAACUUCCAUGACUUCUACAGAGUUUUGAAAAAACUCAGAAGGGUAAAGUAAGUGAAGCAGCAUUAUUCAUCACUUCUGCUUAAUCAGGACAAAUUCGACACAUUUUAUUUCACAUUUCUGUCUAUUCCUAACAGCACAGGAAUUGUGGUUAUAAAUUUUCUCACUUGAUUGACAGUUUUAGUAGUUUUCAUCUAUGUAGUAAGUUGUCUGUCUUUUGUUGGAAUUGAUUCUGUGCAGAAAAAGAACCUUAUUCAUCUAGAUUUGCAAUGGUGGUAAAUGACAAAACUAUCAUUUAGAUUAAUGCACUUUUAAAUAUUCUAACUUGAAUUAUAAAACACUUUACUCUAGAAGGUAUUUUAGAAGUAGGCAGUUAAAUUAUUUAUCCUCUGAAUAAUAGACCCUUUAUUUAUCCUCCAAAUAAUACACCCUAUAUGUUAGAAGCAGAUGGAUUUCUAACCUGUAUUUAUUUUUUCAAUUUGUUUAACUUCUCCUUGAAAUUAAACCAAAACAAUUUACAAUUUUAGAUACUCAAAUUUUUCCAGUCAAGGGUCAUUCUUAGGUUUAACCUUUCCUAAUGGACAAAAAUUUCUUUUCAUUUAGUUAUAUUUACUUGAUGACAAUUCUAAUUUCAAAUCGUAAUCUGGACAAAUCAAUUUUUUUGCUUACAUAUCUUUGCUCAGUUUCUGCAUCAAGUCUUCUUAUAGGUCAGUCAAUCAAACAAUAUCCAGAUACUUACAUAGGUUAGAAUAAUAUGUUACUGCCAAACUUAAGACCAUUGCUUGGCAUCUAAACUGUGAAAUAUUUUGAUGGCAUCAAGGAGACUUGGUUUUUGUAUGCUCUUGACGACCUAGAUAGUGAUUUCCAUCUGAAUGGCAAAUUAGUUAGAGGUUUUAAAUAUAGAACAAUUAUUCUGUUGCACUAUAUUCAAUAGUACAAUAUUCUAUUUCAGCCAAUUAGGAUAGUCAGAAGAACAAAGCUCCCCUCUGGAGACAAAAUUUAAAUUAUUUUUGCUAUUCUCUUGUUGAGUAAAGCAGAGUUGCUCACACAAGAAAGUAUUAUGUUUAAAAUAAUUAUAUAGAGGAAUAUUUGCAGUAAUAUUUAGUAAAUACAGAUUAAGAUUAUAAAUUCUCACUUGCUUCUAAGAAAUUGUCAAAAAGAAAAUGUUACAAAAAUACAAUCAAUUUUAAAUAGGUAAUAUUUUUAAAUUAAAAAUGAAAUUUAGAAGAAAAUAUACUUUCUGAAAAAAUAAGAGCCAUGGCGUUAGUUAAUGCUAUGUUGCUAAUAGUGUUACUAUGUUUAUAAUAUUCUCACUUAUGAAAAUCAAUAUUUACACACCUAAACUUUUAUUUUCCUCCCCAUAGAAACCUAUUUUUUCUUUGAAUAUAUCAUUUAAAAGUCCCAAUUCUAUAAGCAUAACUGAGCAAUUUCAAACUUAAUGUUUUUGUUUUAUUUCAAAUAUGUGGCUGCAAACAAACUUUAGAAUCUGAAUGACCUUUCUCUUAAAUAAAUACCAACAUAUGACUAUCUCUUUUACUACAUUUGAUUACUUUUAGAGGUAGUUCCCAAAACUCUUAUACAAAACUGCCUAAAACAAAUUAAAAAUCUAUAUAGUUCUGCCACAUUGCAAAAGAUUAAAUAAGACAAAAUUAUGUUGUGAUACUGAGAUUGUUUUAAAGGCAGCAAUUUUAGUUACAACCUUGAAUAAAUGAAUUCACCAGAUGUACUGUGUGAGUGUGUAGUGAAAAUGGAUGAUAUUAUAAAACAGUCUAGUCAGGUCAGUUUCUUGGUAUAUUUUUCAUCUCUUUUAGACUCCCUCAGUUGCUAAUCUGAUUAUGUAGCCUCUGAAAUUGACAGAUAUGAAUGUAGCGCAAUUCAAACUUCAUGUGCUCUUUCUUGUUAAGUGACAUUGAUGGAUAAGUAAACAAUAAUACUUUUACUCACUACUUCAUUUAAGCACCCUACAUAUACUUAAGUAUCUUAGCCACUGGUUUUCCUUAAUAUAUUCUGAACUCUUGGUGACUAAAUAUUUCAAUUAACUUCUUUCACUGAGGAAUAUAUUCUACCUCAUAUACUGUUAUAUUAGAAUAUUCUGACAAAACUAGUUUACUUUUUAUUUUCACAUGAACAAAAUAUCCAUGUAUUGUGGAAUUUCAAGUUGAGAUUUAUGAUGGCAAAGGAGUAGGACAUGGAAAUCUCCUCCCAAAAAUAAUAAAAAAAACUACAUAUAAAACAGUUUUCACAAAACAUCUACUGAACACUGACAGACGACCUCAGACUUC